UAAGCUUAGAUUUAGCUCCUGUAUUAUUCAUAAUAUGAGAAAUUUUAUUAAAGGCAGACUUUGGUAAAAGUGCCAACACACUUACUUGUAUAGAAAAGACUUCAUUCUAUGGGAUUUAUAUAAGUAAGUGCUUUCUCUAUAUUCAAAAUAUUUCAUAAGGACCUGUGGUUUUUUUCCCCUUAAAAAGCAACUCUAGGCCGGGCACAGUGGCUCAUGCCUGUAAUCCCAGCACUUUGGGAGGCCAAGGCAGGUGGAUCACUUGAGGUCAGGAGUUCGAGACCAGCUGGUUAACAUGGUGAAACCCCAUCUCUACUAAAAAUACAAAAAUUAGCCAGGUGUGGUGGCACGCGCCUGUAAUCCCAGCUACAUGGGAGGUUGAGGCAGGAGAAUCUCUUGAACCCAGGAGGUGGAGGUUGCAGUGAGCCGCAAUUACACCACUGCACUCCAGCCUGGGUGACACAGCGAGUCUCCAUCUCCAAAAAAAAUUCAACUCUUGGUCUUGUUUCUCAGCACUUAGUUUAUUGUUAUUAGAAUUUAGCCAUACAGCCAACUUUGACAAAAUGGGUCACAGAACAAGCAUGUACAUCAAGAGGAAGUUCCAUAUCCCCCUUGUACCAUUUCUCCUUGGGAACUCAUGCUAUGGGCUACCUUAAAGGUAAAACUCAUCUUAUGGAGUCUUUCUGAUAGGUCACUAGGUAAAACUCCUUGGAUAGGGUGAAAAUGGAUGCACACUCUAUUACAUACUCUGGUUUAUCAUAAGGAAUUUUCCAGAAAGCUAAGCUUUAUACUAAUAAGAUAUUGGUUGGUAGUAGGAACUUCAAAAAUGAAUGAGUUUGCCAUAACUUUAAUUUUCUGGAUUAGAAACACAAAACUUGAAAUGCAAUUAUCAAUAUUUUGUAAUAUAUAUUCCUACAGUUUGGGUAGAAAUAAGGAACAUGUCUGCUAGAUCUGGUUUAUGAAAAAGUGAAAAAUAUUAAAUACACCAGAGACUCAAACCCUUUCAAGGCACACAAUAACUGUUCUGGAUUUACCUGACAAACCUAGUUGAGUAGCAUUUUGACAGAAAAUAUCAGACUGAAAGUUCAUUCAAAUGUACUUAAAUGUACAAUACAGUGUUCAAUAGUUUUUAUUGCAGUGAUGUUUUUCCAAUAAUUUAAGUAAUUCUCUUCCUAGUAUAAUACAGUUUUCAUAAAUAAUGUUUACUUGCUUUCUUUAUAUUUUCAAAUAAAAUUAAAAUGCUCGAGCACUUCCUUUCAGAAAGUUAUAAAAUUAAAAAUAAUUAUUUUAAAUGCUCAUUCAAAUGUGUCUGUAUACUUGCUAUGCCCCUUUUUCUAUAAUUCCAAACUGAGACUGAUUUUUCAGAGAUUUUUAACUUUAAUAAUUUUAAAUCUAGAAUCAAGUGAAACAGAUAUGUUAAAUACUGAGUCUAGUUUUCUUCCAUCUUAUGGAGCUUCAUGGAAUAAGAAACUAAUCUAGUGCAAAUGAAGAUUAAAUAUUUCUGGGUGAUGGAGAGAUAGUCAACAAAUUUAUUUAUCCAUCCUCUGCACAUCAGUCCACUGGAGCAGGAGUUCUACACAUUAAAAAUGUAAUGGGAUCAGCCUAGCAUUGUUUGGUGUUCUUUUGUUGUAUUUUUUAGAAUGGGGGUGGGGGCCUAAGUGUCCUUAUGAAGCUGUGGUCCACGACAGGAGCUUGUUGGGGGAGUACCAGGGUUCUGCUGCUUUCCUGCAUCUGAGCAACACAACAGAGAUCAUCAGUUUUAAAUAGAGUAGCCCUCACAAUCAAAAUAUCAUAGAAUAUAUUGUAAAGUUAUGUUGCUAAUUUUCCUUUGAAAUAUAAAAUAUUUUAAGCUUUUUGUCAAAAGUGGUAACAUCUUAAUACAAAUAAAAACCUUUUUGUGGUUGUAAGAUUUAGCUUAUAAAUCAUUCAAAUUGAAGUGAAAGAAUUACCAGGUCAUUGUUAAUGACUUAGUCUAUUAAGAAUAUAUGUAUUUUUGUAAAGGAAAAGCACUUGUAGAUAUUUAAUCAGUACAAGAUAUGUCUUUUGCAGAAAUAAAAUGCUGCUUAGAGAUUCUCCUUAAAUAUUUUUUAUUUUUGUGCUCAAAUGUAUUUUCUGUUGAUCUAUGGAAUGUUCUGUACAAAGCUGUAUAAUUGUACUGUUGGGCUAGAUACUUUUUUUUUUUAAUCUGGACUUAGCCAAGUAUAUUUCACCAUGUUAAAAUACAGUAUCUUUGUUAUUAAAAAUUAAAUUGCAU
rnacentral:lncRNA from 1 species